rnacentral:rRNA from 1 species
CAGCCGCCGCGGUAAUACGUAGGUGGCAAGCGUUGUCCGGAAUUAUUGGGCGUAAAGGGCUCGCAGGCGGUUUCUUAAGUCUGAUGUGAAAGCCCCCGGCUCAACCGGGGAGGGUCAUUGGAAACUGGGAAACUUGAGUGCAGAAGAGGAGAGUGGAAUUUCACGUGUAGCGGUGAAAUGCGUAGAGAUGUGGAGGAACACCAGUGGCGAAGGCGACUCUCUGGUCUGUAACUGACGCUGAGGAGCGAAAGCGUGGGGAGCGAACAGGAUUAGAUACCCCCGUAGUCCCUGUCUCUUAUAC